UUGCCCUCUGGUGCUUUGGAAAAUAAAUUGACCCCCUCCUCUUUGUGGUAACCUCUCAAAUACUGGAAUACUGUUAUCAUGUCACCCCUAUUUCUUCUUUUCUUUAAACUAGCCAAACGCAAGUCCUGCACAAAGGUGCCUUUGCCGAGAGGCAGGAUUUGGGCCACCGAGGACACACUGAACGGUGCUCUUCCUUUGCAGCUGUGCAAACCACACCAAGCACUAAGGAGGGGAUAGAAGCUCUGCCGACUGUCCUACCUGGAGGGUUGUUGUUCAGCACAGCAUCGCAGACACUGAUCUUCAGAAUAAAAGCCCGCAGAAGCUGCUCCACGUGGUUGAGCAGAGAAUCGGAGCUGGAGAAGGGAAAAACAGUCUUGAAUAUUUGCUCUCCUCGCAUUCUGGAGGAUAAGCCAGAAAUGGUGGCUGAGUUUCUGUGAAGGAAAGACUGGUAAACCAAGCUCUCCUGCCUUCCAGAAUUUGGUGGGUGUGACGAGGUCCAGAAGGCCAGCAUUCGGGGUUUAGGAAUGAG